UUUCUCCGAGCAGGAUGCACUGAACCACGAUGGUGCAGCUUGCUUGCUUCAGGCAUCUGUUGACUGUGAGAACUGGCCUGAGAAUCUGGUGGGUGCUAAGCGUAUGGCUUUGAAACUGUUCUUCUCUAGCCGGUUUGACACCUCUGAAUGAUUACCAGUCUGGUCUGUGGGGGGUGGAGGGGAGCGGUAGCCGCAGUCAUUUUGGAUACAGAUUUGUGAUAAAGAACCCAUCAUCUCUGAAAUGGCAGAGGUGGUUGGAAAGCGUGCUGGAGUGAACGGGCUUUCCAAGAAAAACCCGAAGCUAGUCUUCUUCCAAGAGGACAGGUUAUUUAGAACAGUGCUUUAAUGGACAUUUGAAACACAGGAAACCACUUUCUCAUUUAAAUUGUUACCUCCCAACCUUCCAGGGGAUCUCAAAUUUGAAAGGAAAAACCCGGCAUGGUGUUUCUUUAGUUGUCCUCUCAAGCACGCUUUAUCCAGGGUUCAGAGUUUAAAGUAUAGAAAAAGAGUGUUUCUAAGCCAUUGACAAUUUUGUUUCAAUUUGUGCUUCUUUCUCCUACCACAUGGCUGUAAGUCAAAGAUGUGGAAACCUGAAAUUAUAAUGCUGCUCCUAGCUACUGGCUUCCUGCCCCACUGGUGGUUAAUUGGCCCAGCGUAAUGCCUGGUGGUGAUGAGUAUUACGUCCAGAAAAAGAGAUGUUUGGAUUCCAUGACAAAGCUGCAUUUUAUAAAAAUAUCAGAGACCCCCAAAUGAACUUCAUGCUGGCCAUUUCCUCUCCUCUCUGUGCUCUCCUUUGCAAAGCCCUUCAGUCUCCCCUCUCCUCCCCACCUCCACCUCCUGUGCCCUUUCUACAUCUUUGAUUGCCUGCUUAUAACAGGGUAAAAAAGACAGCCAACCUCAUGCAUGAUGAGCAGAACUAGUUCCCUUUAAAAAAAACAAACAAACAAAAACCUUCUUUGAAUCUAGAGGCCAGAGAAGGUUUUUGGUUUUUUUUUUUUCUCCUAGGGACUUCAGUUUGGGAUAAGCUUCCAGAUUAGCCAUGUCUACUUGCAUCAAAGGGGAAAUAAAUGGGACUUUCAGGGUGGCUCAGCCAGUGCAUUCAGAACUUAUGCCUGUAGCCCCGACUCCUGAAUUCUAUGGCAAAGACAAAAGAAUUGAACUCAAAUGGCAAGAACGACAAAAUUUAAUGAUUAAUUUUAUUGGUUCACAAUGGUUUCCUCUGUGGAAGUCACUUCGUAAAAUAUAAAGUAUAGUGCAAGAUACUUUUGGCUUCUCUUGCACGAAUUGGUUUCAGGAGAAGGAAGAAGCUUGGGAAAGUCAAGAGAUGCAAUGUAUCUAACUACAAAAGUCAAAUUAAUUGUUUCUUUUCUAAAAAAUCUGAGGAGGGCCAGCUUUUCUGGCCGCCAUUUUGCACCCAGAUCUUUGCCAAAGUGAAAAGUCAUUAAGUAGAACCUGGUUGAAAUCUACUCGCGGAAGCGUUCUUUCCCUGGCAUCUUCCGGAAGUGGCCGAGGACAAGUGUGGGGAGGGAGGAGGAGGAGGGAAUUUGCAUUCCGGGUCUGGAUGAUGGUAAACAUGGUGAUAUUUCCCUUUGGAAACUAGAGGGGCUGGCUGGCCUGAGUAUACAUCAAUGCCUCUUUGAUGGCCUACUUUCCUCAGUGAGGAUCUUUGGGAAUACUUGAGUUGGAACAACAAAAAUGUGUCAAAGGAAGCAAAAACUGUUUGUAAAUGUGAGAUCCCAUGACUAACUGCCUGAGGCUUUAGGAUUUUCUCUCGCCUUUAACCCUCUCUUAAAUCUCCUCUGUGGGUUCCUAAUAGAUCCCGGAAAAGGGACAAAUAAAGCUGCAAUUAACUCUCUCACGUGCACCCUUCCAAUAUAGUACUGUAUUCUUCAGGUGUCUUGCAUGUACGUACAAGUCCUCGGAAAACAGGUAAAAAGAAAAUGGAGAGAGAAAUCCUAGGCCGUCGCUUCACAAAUAUCCCAAACGAGAUGACUCUUUUCAAACAGGGCUCCCUCUCAGCAGUCAUGAGGGAAGGUUGAUACGUUCUUUGUUGGGGACUGUUUAUACAAUUUUUUUCAACUGUGAGCUUUGGAAUCGUAAACUGCUUUGACUCCAGCUUCUGUCUACUGCCAUAAAAUGGAUCCCACGUCAGAAUAAUGAGGGUGGUAUGAGUGCACACAGCUGGACACGUGUGCACCUGUACCUAAUGUACCUUCGCAGAAGGAAAACACUUAGGCUACUGACGUUUACGAGGAGUAGCCACCAGUGCCUACUAUCUUUUGGGGGGGAUGGAUGCUUAUAAUUGCCAGUAUAUUGAAAACACACUGGGAGUUCCACAUAGAGGGGAGGGGCUGAGGGUGGGGAGAGGGGACAUUUUAAUCCUAGGCCUUUGGGCCCGGGGCAGAAUGAUUUCUGCAAAUCUAGGUCCUGAAAGGCUUUGGGGCUCAUUGGCUAGUUCUCAACCUUUUUUGCUUUUUGUUUUUCUCAGCAUGCAUUUUCUACCUAACCCCAGACUUGGUUGCAUUUCUUUGUCUUUCACUUCUGCUUCAUUCCAGGGAGGAAAAAUACACCUGUUAUGGCCAAGAUCUCCUUGCUAACACAGAGGCAAAAAUAAAUGUUUAAUGUUUUUGAAGCCUCCCCCUUCCUUUCCAUAAGCCCCCCACCCCAGACUCCUUCUCUCUUGUCGCCCCCUUCCUCCUCCCACCACAUAACUUCCCAGCCACCACUUUUCUUUCCAAUCUCUAUGACCCUCUUAAAAGUUGCUCGAAGACCUUUGUUUUUGCACUAUACAUUUCCUUUUUGCCAGAUGUGUCUAACAAGUGUGUUUGGAGAGACCUACUCCCAGCCCCCUCCCCUCCCCCACCUCCCUCGGUCACAUGCUCUCAGGCCUUCUCUGGUAUUUAUAAUAUAUCACAGAAGUACCCAGUCUUAUAGCCCUCGGUUAUGCCUUUUUUUGACAUUUUAUUUUUUUUAAGCUUUUUAUAUAUAUAUAUAUAAAUAUAUUACUUUGUCAAGUUUUUUUGCUGUACAAAAGUCUUAAGAUUUAAAACUAUUAUUUGUAUUAUAUGAUGGUGGUAUGUUAAUGUUACAAAAUUAUUAAUGAAGAAAAAAUUUAUUUUUGUUACUGGUCUGUUUCAUAAUUCUUUUUUAAAUUGGUAUAUUGUAAGAUAUCUAUGCAAAAAAUGUUAUGUGACGCAUUUUUAUUUAAGAAUGUAAUAUGUGUAAUAAACAG
rnacentral:lncRNA from 1 species